CGAGGCGGAGCCGCGGGCAGGCGGGCGGGCGAGCCCCGGGGGCGGAGGCGGGAAGCGGCCAUGUACGAGCAGGCGGAGUCGCCGCCGCCCCCGGCGGAUUCCGAGCGGAGCGCGGGGCUGGCGGAAGGCGGCAGCGCGGCAGGGUGACGGGGCGGCGGCCGGCGCCGGCUCCUCGCUCGAGCUGGACGGUUUUUAACAGGUUUGCAAGAAGGACACCCACAUUGCUCAUUCGGAGAAAGGUCAUGGAAUCCUGAAUGACUAGCAAGGUUUUUCAAACAUCCUGAUUUAAAGCUGAAGAA
rnacentral:lncRNA from 1 species